rnacentral:tRNA from 1 species
GGCUUCGUAGCUCAGCUGGUAGAGCACGCGCAUACAAAGCAAAGGUGGUGUCCAUGCGUGGGUUCGAAUCCCACCGAGGCUA